AUUCCAGCUCCAAUAGCAUAUAUUAAAGUUGUUGCAGUUAAAAAGCUCGUAGUUGGAUUUCUGGCAUGAUGCGCCUGGCCCGCCUCAAUUAUGAGUGUGUGUGUCAGCGCGCGUCUGCCAUCCAUUUGCAGAAUGUAUCUACCCUUCAUUGGGCCGGAUACGUGAUGUAAAUCUUUUACUUUGAAAAAAUUAGAGUGUUUAAAGCAGGCAUUUGCUAUGAAUACAUUAGCAUGGAAUAAUAAUCUAGGACUUCGGUUCUAUUUUGUUGGUUUCUAGAUCUGGAGUAAUGAUUGAUAGGGAUAGUUGGGGGUGCUAGUAUUAAGGGGCCAGAGGUGAAAUUCUUGGAUUCUCUUAAGACUAACUUAUGCGAAAGCAUUCACCAAGGAUGUCUUCAUUA
rnacentral:rRNA from 1 species